GGGGGGGGGGGGGGGGGGGGGGGGGGGGGGGGGGGGGGGGGGGGGGGGGGGGGUGGGGUGGGGUGCGGGAUGGGCGGGCGGGUGGGGAGCACGGGAGUCGCCUGCCCGUGACGUGGGGAUCACUUCAGGAACCUGGGGCUAAUCCCGGCUAGGGUCUCCGGCUGGAUGGUGGGGGGGGGCCAGGUUCGGCUGUUGGGGAUGGACUCGCCGCCUAUCAGCUUGUUGGUGGGGUCGUGGCUUACCAAGGCUUUGACGGGUAGCCGGCCUGAGAGGGUGACCCGCCACAUUGGGACUGAGAUACGGCCCAGACUCCUACGGGAGGCAGCAGUGGGGAAUAUUGCACAAUGGGCGGAAGCCUGAUGCAGCAACGCCGCGUGCGGGAUGACGGCCUUCGGGUUGUAAACCGCUUUCGCCUGUGACGAAGCGUGAGUGACGGUAAUGGGUAAAGAAGCACCGGCUAACUACGUG
rnacentral:rRNA from 1 species